CUACGGAGGGUGCAAGCGUUACUCGGAAUCACUGGGCGUAAAGGAUGCGUAGGCGGAUAAUCAAGUCAAAAGUGAAAUCCCACGGCUUAACCGUGGAACUGCUUUCGAAACUGGUUAUCUAGAAUAUGGAAGAGGCAGAUGGAAUUAGUGGUGUAGGGGUAAAAUCCGUAGAGAUCACUAGGAAUACCGAUUGCGAAGGCGAUCUGCUGGGACAUUAUUGACGCUGAGGCAUGAAAGCGUGGGGAGCAAACAGGAUUAGAUACCCUAGUAGUCC
rnacentral:rRNA from 1 species